rnacentral:lncRNA from 10 species
GGGCUCCACCCAGUUAGAGCUUCCAGGCUGCUUUGUUUACCUAAUCAAGCCUGGGCAAUGGCGGGCGCCCCUCCCCCAGCCUCGCUGCUGCCUUGCAGUUUGAUCUCAGACUGCUGUGCUAGCAAUCAGCGAGAUUCCGUGGGCGUAGGACCCUCCGAGCCAGGUGCAGGAUAAAAUCUCGUGGUGCGCCGUUUUUUAAGCCGGUUGGAAAAGCGCAGUAUUUGGGUGGGAGUGCCCGAUUUUCCAGACAACUUUGCACCAUGCGGACAGGUCAAAUGAGACCAGAAGUAUUAUGAACCAAUGCUAAUCAGGACUGUUUCCUGCACUCUGAGACCAAAGGGGCCAUUCUCACAAAGAAAGAGCUCCUGCCAUGUUACAUGCCUGCUCUCCAUCUGCCUUCCAACAUGAUUGGAAGCUUUCCGAUGCCCUCACCAGAAGCAAAUGCUGGUGCCGUGCUUUCUGUACUGCCUGCAGAACUCAGGCUUUCGGCAUUUGGCAUCCACAGGAAACUCCAGCUUGACUUAAGGAGUGAGAAAGCAGAGGGCAUCACCUGGAAUCCUGCCACUGAUGAACACUCUUUGCUGUUUACUUGCCAAUAAUUGAGAAGUAGAUCCUGAGCCAAGUGCAAAGAGUUUCUUUGGAACAAGAAAACAUGACAAGGAAGUGGAGAAAUGAGAGCGGCAAGGUGGACAAAGGGGAUUUUGGAGACCAAAAAAGUCCUCAGGCAAACAGAUGCAGGUGCUAGCAGUUGGAAGUCAGGCCCAAGAGCUCUGAUGCGUGUGAUAAUAUGGGAAUUAAUAAGCCUGCUAUAUUUGAAAACCUCCCUGAUAUGCCAGGGUCAAUCUGGAUCCUCCGUCAAGCAGACACCAAGAUAGGAGUUGACACUGAAGAAAGAGCAUGUAAAGGAUAAAGGUAGGUGGGGGGGCAGGAAGAGUUUUCAGACUGUGAUGCAGGGUUGACAUCUCGGAAGGAGAGGGAAGGAACAGUGGGUAGGAAGAAUGGUGCACUACUGAGAAAGUCUUUGUCAAGCUAAUGAGGAAUCCUGGCACAGAGAUUACCUAUUAGGCGAGCCCCACACAGGAUAGAAAGGGCUGAACUUUACUAUUGGCAUCACGUUUGGUCAUCGGCUGACAUGGACAGUGUGGCAGAUUUGAAGAUUUGGCAGCUGAAGACUGUCAUCAGCAACACUUUUCCCACCAGGUUCUCUUGACAUGAGAUCCAAACAGUGCACCUCUAUUGCUACUAAAUGUCAGUUCUUGAAUAUUCCAGAGUUCCUUUUCUUUGAGGGCAAGGGUUGGAUUGUAUUUUACCACCUCUUUAAAAUUAGGAUGGCCAUAUGACUUAUUUUGGUCAUUAAGUUGUAAGUGGAAGUUUGAAAAAACAGUAUAUGCUUUGCCGGAUUAUCUUUUUCUCUUCAAAGAAAAUACCUUUUGAGCAGAACUUCCAUCAAUCUGGGCCCCAAUAAUGAGCAGGCUCUUACCAACUCAGGUGGGACAUGUAGACUGAGCAAGAAAUAGCAUUAUUGUAAUAAGCCAUUGAGAUAUUAUGUUUUUUAUUGAGGCAUAACCUAGAUUACUCUGACUGAAACCAUAGCUUUGGAGAUUGUGCUGGAGUAUUUUAGUUUCUACAUACACUGAGAAAUAGGCAGUGACCAUUGGGGAACAGGAGGCAGUGAACACUGGGGAAGAGGAGGCAGUGAACAUACCACUGGAAUCCAGCUUGGUUGGAUAUAAGAGCACAACAAUUUGAAAGCGUUAGUCAAAGAAAUGAACUGCUUGAUUUUCCUUCUGAGCUUCUAAAGUCAUUUAUAUUUAGAAGGAAAAGCUCACCAGUCAUAGGUUGUAACAAAUUAUUAAUACAUAAAUGUGUUCUGAGCUAACAGGACCAUAAACUGUCAUAGUUGGUCAACAAUAUUUAUUGUGGAUAAACAACUUGUAUUAGAUAUGUUAGAACAUAAAAAAGAGAACAAUGAUUAUUAUCAUCCCUUUUAUUGUAUGCCACAUAUUAUGAGAUUCAAAGGCUUUCAUAAAUAUUUUCUUCUACUCAGUGGAGUAAGUAGGGAAAGUAUUAUUAUCCCAGUUUUACAGUUAAGGAAAUGGAAACCCACAAACUUUAAAUGACAAAGGGGAUAAGUGGUUGAAACAAAACUAGAACUCAAUACAUCUGAGUAGAUGCCUGUAAAUUAAAAUAUUGCCUUCUUGCGAAGGCUAAAAUUCUUGUUGCCAGAAAAAGUUUAAGAAUAUUUUCAGUGCCUACAGUCAAAUACAUAUGCAUCAAUAAGGCAUUUGCAGCUAUUUUGUGUCAUGGUAUUGGAUGAAUGCUAUAAUUAGAAAACAGACGUGAAGCCGACCUAAAACCAUCAAACUAAUAUAGAGAGCCCUGAAGCUUUUUCCAGUUCCAGUCAGUCUGAAAAGACAACAUCAAAUGCUAAUGAGAGUCAGUCUUAAAUAAAAUAAGAAUAAAAAUUGCUUUAUCUGUGGCUUAUAACUCUUAAGUGAAUUUAAUGUGUAUUUUCUCUCUUGUGUGUUACAUUUUCCCUAUAAGGAAUUAUAGAGUUGAACCCAGAUCUUGUACCCAUAAAUCUCAAAUGCUUAUGGAGACAUAAAGAAUAGGUAAAAAUGGAUUUUUAAUCACAUUAAGGAAUGCUGUUAUGAGGCAACUUCCUUUGAAACUCAAAAUACUAACAAAUUGAUAGGAAGAUUUUAAAACAUGGCUCCAUUUUAUUUGAUACUUGUUCCAUCUAAAGGUUGGACUUUUCCCCCUUUCUGAUUAACCUGGAUUCUGUGCUUGCUUUCAAUCUGGCCGUUUCUAGAUCAGGCCUUAAGAAACUGGCAGUUCCUACUUCCUGUCUCUUCAGACACUCUGGAAACCACCAUGCUGUGAGGAAGCCCAAGUAGUUCCUGGAGAGAUCUACACCAAUAACUGAAGCCCCAAGGCCCUAGCACUGGCUGAGCUCCCAGCUGAAAGCCAGCACCAAAUUUCCAUAACUUUGAGUGAACCAUCUUGGAAGUGUAUAUUCCAGUUCCAGGUUAAGUGUACUCAGAAAUAACCUGCCCCAUUGAUCCCUGUAAAAAUUGGAGAUCUGAAAGCAAAAUACAAUAUUGUUGACAUUUUAAGUCAGUAGGGUUUGGGGCAGUUUAUUGUAUCAGUGAACUUUGCCUAGGUUGGUUUUACCUAGAGGCCUUCUAUAGUACAUAAUAGAGUACCUUGGUCUGGUUAUAGGGAUUUUGUGCCUUCCUUUACAUUUUAAAGUGAAAGAAAAAUAUCUUUUCUGUGAACAUGAAUUUUUUAUUAUUAUUGUUAUACUUUUAAGUUCUAGGGUACAUGUGCACAAUGUGCAGGUUUGUUACAUUGGUAUACAUGUGCCAUGUUUGUUUGCUGCAUCCAUCAACUCGUCAUUUACAUUAGGUAUUUCUCCUAAUGCUAUCCCUCCCCCAGCUCCCCAGCCCCCAACAGGCCCGGGUGUGUGAUGUUCCCCUCCCUGUGUCCAUGUGUUGUCAUGAACAUCAAUAUUUUUAAUGAGGGCAUUAAGUUUACUCUAUUGUGUGGUUAUCCUGUAUUCUUGUAGCAUUGUCUCGUUUAGUCCGUAGAGAAAGAUCACAUCCCUGUAGUGUGUGAUCUACUAUAAAAUGAGUUGGGGUUUUUUGUGUCAAUAAAAUGAGUUGCAACAAAAUGAGUUGGGUUUUUUUGUGUCAAUAAGUGGGGACAGUGGGAAAAUUUCCUUAAGGAAAGCACAUGAGAUUUGGUGAUUUGGGGCAGA